AUUCACUGCAUCCUGUGCAUCUCUCUGUAUAAUUUCACCAUUAGCAUACUGAAUAAAAACAAUGUAAAAAUAAUACAAAUUCCAGUAAGCCUCUACGUCUACAUUCAAACUCAAGACACUUUACUUUCCAAGUGGUAUAUCUAAUGAGCCUCAUCGCCUCAAAUCCCAAGUUUUGGAUGUCAGCAAAGGCAGUUCAUUAUAAGCAGUUUCAUUUGGUCAAGGACAACUGAAAAUUGGAAUUUGGACAGAAUAUCAAAAGGCUAAGGGGCUGUUCAUUUGUGGAAAACUGAGGUAGUUUUCUAGAAAAGUUUUCUAAUAAAACUAGAAAACUGAGUUUUGUGUUCAUAUGUGCCAAUUUUCCAAAACUUAACUAAGAUUUGGAAAAGAGCUUUAAGUUGUUUUCCAUUGUCUUCCCUUAUAACAAAAGUUUUGUUUUCCAACAAUUUUAUAAAUGGAAAACGAUGACUUUUUUUAUAACCAAAAUUAUAUUAUAACUUUUUUAUAACUAAAACUGAAUAAUUAUUUAAGAAAAUAUUCAAUUACAAUGAUAAAAAAAAAUUAAUCAUA
rnacentral:misc_RNA from 1 species